AAAAGCAGCUACUAACUGCAUCUGUCAUUUGCACACACACGAGCUCAUCAGUCAUUUUGCUGCAGAUCAGAGACAAUCACUCCUCCAUAAAGAGCCAGAUGCUAUAAUGGACCACAGGGAUGAGGACAAAUUAACUUGAUAAACUGACAGCACAUUAAAUCACACAUCAGGCAGGUUUAGUGGAGUGUACACUCAAAUAUAUUUUGCUGUAAUUUCUAUGUGAUAUUAGAGACUUAUUUGUGUAAAAAUGUUGGUAAAUACAGCCAAAAAGCAUUGUCGUAGCUCAUGUCUAAAAUAGUGAAAAGGGGGGAUUAAAUAUGUCCAGCGAAGCCUGGGGAAUAUAUUAUGUGGGUUGGUUAUGUUAUGUGCCAGUUUAAGAACUUAAAUGUGCAAACAUCAGCACCACAAAACCCCCAAAUCUUUACGUAUAGAUUGUCUAAUUCAUUUCCUAAGUACAUCUAAAAGUGGGAUCUAUGUGGUUUAGCAUGUUUGCUUUAAGUCUCUCUCAUCUGUCUUUUAAUGUACUUUUAUGGGUUGUAUUCUUGUGUUUCCCACCCCACCCUGUCCUGGUCCCCUAAUUCACUCUUUUGUUUAUGAUUUCCCUUCAACAUCUGCCUUCAAAAUGAGGAAACUCCCAUAGAGCUGAAUCACUGUCCCUGGUUGUGAUGAAAACGUCAAGAUCGAGGAAAUAGGGCCGCACUGCCAGAUGCUGGUGCAUCUAUUACUAUAGCUCGACAAAGCAGAUUUACUUCAGACAUCCUGAGCUGUCUUUUGAAGCUUAAUCACGUCCUCAUCAGCAGGAAAAACAAGGAUGGAUGAAUUUUUGAAAGGCUUUGUUUUUGCACUGAUGGACUGUUUUUUAAUUAAACCCUGGUGAAUCUUUAACAGCAAAAAGUGAAAUGCUGUUGAGAUGGCUCCCUUGUGCAUUGUUCUAAUAAUGAUCCUUCAGCAUCAUACUGGACUAUAUUAAGAGGAAAUAUGGCAGGGAAGAGAAUUAGCCAGAUGUGUGAACAUUAGUCAGUACGUUCAGAUGUGCCACACAUUGUGUGUUCUGCCAGGAAAGUACAAGCAGUACAGCCAUUAUCUCAGUUUAGCAACUGGACUAAACAUUCUGUUUCAUAUUGACGUUUAAUUUGCCAGGAAAGAAUGACUGAAUUAUAAACACAGUUAUUGAUCUAGAAUAACAGCAGCUUCCUGAGGUGUCUGGAACUCCUAUUACGUUUAAAAAAAUAAAAUUGUCCUGAAACUAUUUUUGAUUAAAUUAAGCAAAUGACAGUAAAUUAAUCGCUUAUGUAAUUUAUGAAGUUAAAUACCAAAUAUUUGUUGGUUCUAGAUCACAAAUUAACACUUUUUUAUAUAAAACUGUUUUAUAUAUAUCGCUGUAAAAUUGAGUGCCUUUUUAGUUUUAAUCUGCUGGUCAGACAGACUUUUCACUCAAAACCACAAAUUUUAACCUCAUGGUAGCACUAGGAGAGAAGUUGGGAACACUGAAGUCAUUAGGAUUGAUCCUCUGGGAACCACGAAUGUCUGCAACAAAUUUCACAGUAAUCCAUCCAGUAGUAUUUGAGAUAUUUCAGUCUCGACCAAAGUGAUGGACCGACUGAUUGACAAACAUUGCUGUGCUGCUAGCAUGGCUUAUAAUCAACAGAUUAAUCAAUGAUGACAACAGUCAUUACUUGUGACCACUCCAUAUUGAAUCAGUGCAGAAUGCAUGAAAGCUGUCAUUGAUACACCGGGGUCAUGCUGAGAAAAUGAGGAGGUAUAUUUAAUCUGGUUUAAAGUGACGUUAGCAGCUUUUAAUGAGGGCAUUAACUAUGUCAGUGUUCUAAUAAACCAGCACUGUACUGACAAAUUCCUCCUAUCACAACAGACAGUAGCGGUGUGGGAAAUGUGGCUGGAGUGUAAAACAAACACACAGCUGCAGGCAUUGUAAAUGUGUGGGUCACUGAUAAAGUAGGUGGUGUUCAGUACAGUGUUAUGACUCGUCCGUCCAACUGUUUACUUUCCAGGGCGAUGGUGGUGAUUUGGCUGCCAGUCAAGCUGACUGGAAAACGUGACAGGUAUUGAAUCAGUGCCAUGUUUUGUGGCCUCGCUCAUGUCGAUAAAUGUCACAUCUGAGCUGCCGAGCGGCCUGGACGGGGUUUGGUAUGUAAUGGCUACAGUACAAGGAUCAGAGCGUUACGUUCCACUGCAUGCUGCUCGGUCAUCUGACACAUUCCUGUGGGAACAAGUCUCCCAUGCUAGGGGCAGUAGACAUAUCUGCAGUAGACAGACUGAAAGCAAAGUGACUGUGGACACAAAACUGAGAGGUCAUUUUAACUUAUAAAAAAGUCAAAAAUGUAAUCUUUUAAAGACCUGGAAUUUCCACUGACUACACUACCUGCUCUGCAUCAGACAGACACAGCGACUAGCUGGUGCUAGUAACAUAUUGCAGCAUUUAGCCGCUAAAGGGCCGGCUGUGGCUCAGGAGUGGGUCGACUUAUAGUCACAAAGUUGACGGUGCGAUCCCUGGCUCCUCCUGUCCGCAUAUCGAACUGUCCUUGAGCAAGACACUGAAAUGACACUCAACCCCAAGUUGCCCUCACACAAAUUCCUGUUAUUAGCUAGAUGGGUAUGCCAACGCCUUGCAUGGCAGCUCCUCCACCAUCGGUGAAUGAAUGUGUGUGUAAGGUAGAAAGGCGCUAUAUAAAUGCAGUCCAUUUGCCAUAAAAAGCCAGAUAUUUCCCCCAGGAAUUUGGGUUCGUAGACCCAAAGCCGAGCUAAAAGCGUGAGAGGCUGUAUUUAGGUACAGCAGUAUUUUGAGCCAUGCUAGCGUUAACAUUUAGCUCACAUAGGCAUUAAUAACAGGCUGAUGUUACGCAGGUAUAAUGUUUACCAUGUUCAACACCUUAGUUUAGCGUGUUAGCAUGCUAACAUUUGCAAAUGAGCACAAAACACAAGCACAGCUGAGAAUGAUAGGAAUGUCAUUAGUCAUUUGUAGGUAUUUGGUCUUAAACCAAAGUAAUGGACAAACUAACAUUUUGAACUGAUGAUGGCGCUAGCUAGGGGAAAUGCCAUGGGGUUCACCCAAGUAAGUAGGAUUCAUCCUCUGGAAAACAUAAGUGUUUAGCCCUUCUUUCACAAUGCCUGCAGCAAUUUCUGUGAAUAUUUAAUGUUACAUUCAGUAUAAAGUGAAAGAACUUAGAUCUGUCUUAAGACAAUUCACUUAAUUAUUAAUACGGACCGAUAGUACACAGUCUAAAAGAUAAAUGAACACUAACUUUCUGAAAAUCAGCAAAUCCACAUUACAAGGCUUCAGAUUUCUUGUGAGGAGUGGUUUCAUUUAGGUCUCAGUUGAAACACUAUAGUGCACAGGGGCUUUAUUUAUGUCUUAACUUCUUUGGGUUUUGCUUGUAAAUCCUAAAAGGUCUCGCCUAAGGCACCUUAAUGUGCAGACCAGCCUAGGUAAUAAAGGUGAAUGAUUCUACUGAUGUUAAAUGGGCGACAACCCCACACAAAUCUUAAUUGGCUGCGUGUUGAUUCUGCAUCGUGAAACUGAGAGCUUCAUGUCGUUUUUAUCUGAUUGCUUUCAUUUUCAAUUAGGAUCACCUCAGAAAAAACAAUUUAGUGGGAGCUCAUGGAGAAGUUAGAUCAUGCAUACUGAGCAGGAGCCAGUUGCGUGUGUGAGGCUGAGGGUUUAUCUGCUUCCUCAACACUUGCACUUAAUGCUAAAGCACCUGAUCUGGGUCCCUUAAAACAAAUGGGAUAGCUUGUAUGAUAACUGGAAAGUUGUUAAAGUGCAGCAGAUAUUACCAACAACAGAUUUUUGCUUUAGGCAGUACACAUUUAAAUGGCAGACAGACAGACAGACAGCCAACAUUAUUGUUUCACUCACUCACUCGUGGCACACCAAGAUAGAAAGCCUCGUAGCGCCCUUAUCAUCAGAAAGUGGCACAUUUGACAGGUCUGUUUUUGAAAAUCACUCGACAACAUCUGCUAUUCUGGGCGAGGUAAUGUGGGUUACAUCUGCUGCUAUGAACUGCACUAAAAGUGAAUCUUUCAAUAAACAUAUUUUACCAGAAGUCAAGUUCAUGAUGAUGGAAUAAUAUAGUACAUGAUAGAUAUAUGUGUACAUUGAGAUUACACCAGAUUUUACAGUGGAUGAUGAGAAUCUUUUUUGAUUACUGAAGCUAUUGAUAUAUAAUAUAUUUUUUUACUGUUAAAAACUCCCAUGAAAAGACCAAACGCCAAUAAUGAAUUGUUUGUACUAAUAUUGUCUGUGUAGAAAAGCCUAAUAUAGCUCAUUGUUCUGUGCCAUAGACCUCCAUUGUUGCCCCAAAACUAUUAAAAACACAUAAGUGAUGAACCAAUUCAUCUCCAUGAACAUAGGCUCUGUAGUUUAUUUUGAGUCAAUCCUGCAUACACCGCCCUGUUGCCAUGAACUCCCUACAGCACCAACUGUGUAUUAAUCUGCCGCUGAAAAUAGUCCCCCCACAAAUGCCCUGUUUACUCCUGUUUGAGUAAUGUUUGCUAAAUGCUACUAUGCCCAGCUCUUUGAGGAAAUUACUAAGCCUUUUGUAAAAAAAAGAAACUAUAUAUUUGUAAGCAGUUUUUAAAGAUUUGCGUCAUCAGUAAGAGCCAAUGAGCUUAGUGCUGAGAGUCACAAACAGGAUAUAUAGGUUUGUUGGAAUUUAACAGGUCGAUGAAAACGCACUUAAUAACAACAAUACAGAACAUUGCCAGCCUUAAUUUAGUCUAUUAUUAUGUACAGUAUUUGCACCUAAUGUUUUUUGACCUCUAACUUGGUAUUAAAUCACACAUCUAUAACA